rnacentral:rRNA from 1 species
UACGUGCCAGCAGCCGCGGUAAUACGUAGGGUGCGAGCGUUGUCCGGAAUUAUUGGGCGUAAAGCGCGUGUAGGCGGUUUGCUAAGUCUGGUGUGAAAGCCCGAGGCUUAACUUCGGAAGUGCACCGGAUACUGGCAAGCCAGAGGACGAGAUAGGGAAGUGGAAUUCCUGGUGUAGGGGUGAAAUCCGUAGAUAUCAGGAGGAACAUCGGUGGCGAAGGCGACUUCCUGGCUCGUAACUGACGCUGAGACGCGAAAGCGUGGGUAGCAAACAGGAUUAGAUACCCUGGUAGUCCACGCCCUAAACUAUGGAUACUAGACGUCGGAAUACCUAAUAGUUUCGGUGUCGCAGCUAACGCAUUAAGUAUCCCGCCUGGGAAGUACGGUCGCAAGAUUAAAACUCAAAGGAAUUGACGGGGGCCCGCACAAGCGGUGGAGCAUGUGGUUCAAUUCGACGCUACGCGAAAAACCUUACCCAGACUUGACAUCCCGCGCAUAGCCAUGAAAGUGGUGAAUUGUCUUCGGACACGCGGUGACAGGUGCUGCAUGGCUGUCGUCAGCUCGUGUUGUGAGAUGUUGGGUUAAGUCCCGCAACGAGCGCAACCCUUGCCGCUAGUUACCAUCAUUUAAUUGGACACUAUAGUGGGACCGCUUGGCUAUAAGCCAGAGGAAGGCGGGGACGACGUCAAGUCCGCAUGGCCUUUAUGUCUGGGGCUACACACGUGCUACAAUGGAGAGUACAGAGCGCCGCAAGCUCGCAAGAGCAAGCUAAAUCGCUAAAAAACUUUCCUCAGUUCGGAUUGGAGUCUGC